GAAAGUUCAACUGGAGUGUUUUUUAAAAUCUUAUUAAACUUUUCAACUGAAUCUAGAAAGACAUUUUAUCUUUAUGAUCCAGUAAUUGUCUUGUCUGGAAGCACGGCAUGUCUGUCCACUUCCCCCCUUACUCUCUUGAGACCUCUUCUGGCUUCUCCAGGUGGAAGGCACAGGACUGUGUUCGAUACCAUGUGUUCUAGACUGACAGCUGAGACUCCGUAACUUCUCUCUGCCCUUGCUUGGAUUUCCUUGUUCUUGAGCACGGCGAAUUUGGAGCUUUCUGCUCUUGGCAUCUAUUUAGAAAUUACCUUACUGACUAAAUUGCUAUGUCAUGACUGCUUGGUUCAUGUUUUUUUCCCAACUUCUACACUUUUCUUUUCCUUUUCCGGGUGAAGCUUUGGUUCAUUGUCUCUGAGAUGGAACAAUACACCUUUCCCAAAAUGAUGUGGCUAGUAAGGUUUUUACACAGGCUUCAUUUGAACCUUCAAGUACGUACAGUGAAAACCGGAUAUUUUUUGGCUAGAUUCCAGCAGGGGUGUGGAUUUAGUACUCGAUCCGCAGCCUUUUAUGAGCAGCUUUCAGGACGGUAGGUGAACUGAAGGGAAGAGAGCAAUUCUAUUUUCUUAUUUUUAAAAAAAAUCUUGUCCUAUCAUCUGUUAGUCAGCUUGGCCUUUGAGUAAUGGCAUAUGCAUAUCUUUAUUCUUGUUCUUCAUUGGUUAAAGUGUCCAGGUACAUUGAUGUGCUCCUAACUAGUACUUUCCUUUUUGCAAAGUAAACUGCUGUUCACACUGCUGUCACAUACCAGAUAAUUCAUAAAGUACCACAGUAUUCAGAGUUACUAGCAUCACUCCUACACAGCUUAUUCCUGCAUCAAAAGAGGAAAGUCCUUUGUGUCCUCUGACAUAUCUUACCGCCCGCAGAGGCGUUCUAGAAGCCCAGGUGUACCAGAAGGCUGGCCUCGCUUUUUCUUGGCUCAGCACACUUGUCCUCAUCUUGAGUCUGGGUUCUGGGUGACUAACUCCCUUCAACUUUCUCUUCAUAUCAGCCCCUUUGUUCCUCUUACCAUAACCGAAAUGUCCCAAACUCAGGUGUUUGUACAGUCAAAUGUAGUUUUUAGCAAAUUUCUUUAUUUUACUAGUAUAUCCCACAGCACAGUUGAACUAGCUAUACUAAGCAUAUAGUUUUUGAGCAAAGGAAGACAGAGAUGCUUUUUCAUCUAGGAGGCAUUAGUGUGUAAUUAGCUGUUGCAUAUGUUACAGAGUUUAAUUAAUAGCCAAAAAUAAUAUUUUAUCACCGUAACUUUUUUUCUUUGUGGUAGCUCUAAUGAAAACUUCUCUAAUAUGUCUCUACCUUUCUUUGGAGCACAGUGCAUGUAAUUUAUGCUCUUUUCAGUAUCAUUGCAAGGUUAUAAUUAAAAGCAUAAAUUCCUGUUUCAUGACCCUGAGAGUCUACUGAAUUGUUCAAUCCCUUUUUUAUCUUAGAUUUACCGACUGGCCUCAGCUAUGCAUUUUGCGUUCUUGUAACUACAUUUAUGUACCUUAUUUAUGCCCAUUGUUGAUUGUCACCGUGCUGUCAGUAUCCCUGUCUCCUUCAUUCUCCUUCAUUCUCCCUCCUCAGCCCACACUGUCUGUCUUCAAGCUUGACCAAAGCAGGAAGUGGACUUCCUGUUGAUAAGAUCUGGAAGGUUCUGGAUGAUGUAGCUGCUCCCACCUCCUUGGCUUCACGGACCCCCUGUAUCACACCACGCCUGUCCCACCUCAGGGCCUUUUGCACCUGGUGCUCUCUGUCUGGAUCCUCUAACCUUGGUUUCAUGUGGCACAUCCUGUUUAGCAAUUCGGUUCCCAAACACCAGCAUUUGUCUCUCCUAGUAAACUGGCAAGAACCCUGGUCUCUAGAGUGCUCUAGGAGGGUAGAACAGCUUGUUGGUUUUAAUUCCCCACCGUUCUGUCCCAUGGAAUGAGUUCGGAGUGUUCCUUCUGCUUUUCUCUGGCAUCAGUUUGGGUUUUUUUUUUUUUUUGGUUUUAUUUUUGUUUAAUUUUUAUUAUGAAAUAAUUAUAUAUUCAUAGAAAGUUGUAAGAAUUGUAUCUUUCCUCAGAGAGUCACCACGUAUCCUUUAGCCAGUGGCCAUAUUUUACAUAACUGCCGUGCACUUUUCAAAACCAGGAGAUGGGCACCGGUACCGCGUGUGUGUCUAGUUCUGUGCCGUGUUAUUACGUGUGUACGUUGUGUAUCCAGCACUGCCGUCAGGACACAGAACCGCCCCGCGACCUCAGAGAUCUCCCGAGUGGUUGCACCCACUUCUCUCCCUUACAGCAUCCUUACCAGCAACCACUAACCUGUUUUCCAUUUCCAUAAGUUUGUCAUUUCAAGAAUGACGAUAUAAGUGGAGUCCUACAGCAUGUGAUCUUUUGAGAUUGGCUUUCUUCACUCAGUAGUGAGGUAGCGCCCUGGAGGUCCAUCCGAGCUGUGUGCUAUCAACAAGUAGCUCCUUUUCACUGCCGGUGUCGUGUUCCGCAGUAUGGCGGCAGCAAACUUUGUCCAACUCUUUGCCCGUUGAGGGACAUUGGAGUUGCUUCGCGAUUUGGACUCUUCCAAAUAAAGCUGCUGUGAACGUUUGUGUGUAGGCUUUGGUGUGGAUGUGAGUUUUUCUUUUAUGUGAGAUAAAUGUCCAGGAGUGCAAUUGCUGGGUCAAAUGGUAAGUAUAUGUUUAAAUUUUUAAAGAAACUGUCAGUUUUGCAGUGUGGCUCUAACAUUUCAUAUUCUCGCCAGCAGUGAAUGAAAGCUGCAGGUUCUCCGCGUCACCGUUUUUAUUUUUGCUGUUUUAAUAAGUGUGUACUAGGAGCUCAUCAUGGUCUUAAUUUGCAUUUCCUUCAUGGCGAGUGAUGUUGAGCAACUUUUCAUGGGCUCCUCUGCCAUCCGUAUAUCCUUUCCAGUGACAUGCCUCUCAAGUCCUUUGCCUGUUUCCUAAUUGGGUUUGUUUUUUUUUUCACUGUGGACUCUUGAGAGUUCUUUCUGUAUUCUAGAUAUGUGUCCUUAUGUCAGUCCUGAAUAUUGGUUUACAGGUAUUUUCUCCCCAUCUGUAGCAUGCCUUUAUCUUUACAGGGUUUUUCACAGAAGUUUCUAUUUUGUUCAUCUUGUUUAUUGAUUUUUUUUUCAUUUAUGCGUUAUGCUUUCACUGUCCUGUCUGAGGACUCCGCACCAAGCUCUAGGUCCCAAAGGGGUUGUCUUGUGUUUCUUCCAGAAAUUGUAUAGCUUUGCCUUUCACAUAGAAAUCUUGAAUUUAUUAUGAGUUAAUUUUCAUUUAAGGUGUAUAAGGCUUAGGUCCAGGAUAAUUUUUUUCCCUGUGAGUGUCCAUUCGCUUUCACACCUUUGUUGAAAAGGCUUUUCUUCCUCCGUUGAAUUGCGUCGUCACUGUGGUCAAAAAUCCAUUGGAUGUUUUUCCAUGGGUGUUUCUAGGUUCUGUAUUCUGUUCCAUUGAUCUUCAUGUCUCUUUAUCUUCCAAUAUCAUACUGUUUUAUGAAUCUUAGAAAAAUCUCCCCUGCAUCUACAAAAACAUGCCUGGGAUUUUGAUAGGUAUCAUAUUAAAUUUAUUUACUUGUUUGGAAAAAAAUGAUACCUUUAUUAUUUUUCAAUCUAUGAAAUGGAUAUGGCUUUCCAUUUAUUCAGAGCUUCGGUCUCUUUCUCCAGUGAUUUUGUACUUUUUCACGUAGAAGUCCUAGUCAUACUUUCCAGAUACUCACAUAAGUAUAAUUUUCCCAUUUGUUGAGCAAUCGCGAAUGAUAUUAUGUUUUCAAUUUUUGUCUUCACAUGUUCAUUGCCAUUACAUGGAAAUACAAUUGGUUUUUGUGUGCUUAUCUUGUACCCUGAAACCUUCCUUUCUGAUUUGUAUGCCUUAUUAUGAUGCCGAAAUCACGCCCUUUCAGGGUCCUGGAAAAUUCCUCUGUUGAAUCCUGAGCGCUUUCGAUGUGACCUAGGCUUUGAUCGUUUCCAGCCUAUGUGAUACAUGAUGUUCAAGGCUCAUCUUGUACAUUCCCUGGCAGAGACCACAUUCUGGCAUCAGAAAUUGGAAACAUCACUUUUAACUACUGUGAGAGACUGCCUGACUUCACAGUUCUCUGCUGGAAUAUGGCCACUGAUUAAACCUCUUGGUACUCCCUUAUCUAUCAGAGAAGUUCCCAGGAGGGGUUCAAUAAUUAAUUACCAGAUGAAGGAAUGAAUGAAUGAGUGAAUGACUGAAUGAAAGAAAUACAUCUUGAGCUAGUCUCUGAUGAUGGCAAAACAAAAAAAUAUAAUAUGGCCCAUCCAAGAAAGAAGUGGUCAGAGCAAUUCAGAUCACUACCAGUCUUUCAAAGAAUUAAACUCCUGCGAACCAUAAAACUUGUCUUUCUGUCCUCCCUCACAGUGACCUCCCACAGGCCUGGCCUCUUUGCUCUCCUCCUUCCUUUCUGGAUCCUUUCCAGACUUUGUGUUUCCCUCCUUGGUGUGAAUUCCCAAGACCCUCCUCUCUCUCUAGACUCUGCUCCCCCCGCCCCCCACCACCAAACUGCUUGAUAAGGCCCCACAGGAAAGGGAGAAGAGAUUGUGAAUGUUCAUGUUUGGGACAUCACAAAUGCACUCAUCACAAAUAUGAGUGCACGAAUGGUGACACUCAGAGGAAGCGCUGCGUCCCCCUACAGUGUGUGAGUGGGACAUGAGCUGUUGAAUAUUGACAGGCCCUAGCCCCGUGCUCAGCACGUGCACAUACUUCAGACUUACCUUUUAAUACACACGAUGGCUCUGUGAGCUGGGUAGAGGUCUCUCAUUUCUGAGAUGAAGAAACGGAGCCCAGAGAACUAGUUCGUAAGGAGUUUUCUGUGGCUGCUAUAACAAAUUUCCACAACGUUGCUGACUGAAAACAACACAGAUCUGUUUUCUUACCAUUCUCGAGGUCAGAAGUCCACAGUGUGUCCGGUGGGGUUAAAAUCGACGUGUGUGCAGGGCUCCGUUUCUCUGGAGGGUGUGGGGAAGAAUCUGUUUCUCACCUCACCAGCUCUAGAGGCUCCCGGGCUCUGGGACUCGUGGCCCCUCGGCCACCCUCGGAGCUGGCGCUCUCUCUGGCUCUGACUCUCCUGACUGCCUGCCCUUUUGGGGACCCUUGUGAUUGUUUGGACCUGCCCACAUGGUCCAGCAUCAUCUCCCCAUCUUGGGAUCCUUAAUCACAUCUGCAGAGUCCCUGUGCUGUGUGACAUAACCUAUCGACAGGCUCUGGGCGUGAGGACGAGGCCAUCUUGGGGGCCAUUCUGUAGCCUUGGAGCAGCUGCAUGCAUUGCACACGGAGGCAAAGAGUUGGGUCGUGCCUUUUCCCACCGCUCCUUGGUGGGGGGUCUUGGAGGUCUUUACCUCUGGAUAACUCUGGCACAGUUGGCUGUGGUGUCUCACUGUGUUCACACCUAGCGCCUGGUUCAUUUUCAUCAUUUUGGGCCAGGGCGCUAGUUACACACGGCUUGUGACAGACGGAAAAUUGAGGAAUGUGGCCAAGGACCGCAAGCAGACACACCAGCGCCUGAUGGACAACGAACGGUGCGCGUCUCUAAGACAAGUGGAGGCAAUUCUGUUUUAUGUUACUGGGCUGUGUCUGUCAUGGAGAUGAAAUGCAUGGUCAUUAACCGCGGCAAGAUGUGGAGACAGUUGGGAAAAGUGACUCUUACCCUUUUUUACUAUUUUUAUCCAUUUCCCUCAUUGUGUUUUCCUGGGGGAUAUCUAGGCACUAUGAGUGAUACUACCUAAAAUUUGCACGCUGUCUUUAUCUCACGGGUGCAUUGUCAUGGUUAAUAAUGUUUCAACAUACUUAGACUUUCCCAAAAUGGUCUUCUUUAAGUUAUUUACAGCUGUAUUUUGGGCCUAUCACCAUUUACCCUUGCAAAUCUGAGUUGCCUGCCUAUUUUCUCAUUUUAGACCCAUCCUAAUGUCCAAAUCAAAUGGUUUUAUAAAGCUUUUCCUGGGCAAGUCCGAAGUGGGUAGUUCUUGAGAAAAAAGAUUGUCUGUCUCCAAAGGAAAUGAUCACUAAUCUUCAUAGCCGACCCCACGCCUCUGAUUUCUGCCUCUUGUUAGUAGGAACAACGGUUGGACCUAGUAGGGAAGAGAAUUCUUACCAGAAUUCUCAGGGAGGCCCGGCUUUGGUGUUCUGCCCUGACACUCAGAGGGACCCUCACCCCCAGCUUCUCUACCUCAGGGGCUCGGGGCUCCUCUGUCAAGAUCUGGCAUAUUGUGGAGCCCUUGUCCUCCUGGUCGAUGUCCACCCAUGGAACUUUGUCAAACCCAAGUGCAACACCGGCUCCGUGGCCACCGCCGCAUGCUGGGCACUGUCUUAGCUGCUGAGGAGCCAGACAUGAGUCCUAGAGAAGUGGGGGAGAGAGAGAGACAGAGAUAGCACAGGGAGGGAGGGGCUUACCCCCGGGGCCUCAACCCUGCUGAAUUCCAGGACGAGAGUUUGUGUCAAAUACUGUUCCUGGCCUCUUGCCUGACUGGGUCGAGGGAGACUCAGGAGGAGUGAUGGUGGCUGACUUGCUCGGGGAGAGCAUCCCCAGGAGCCGUGUCCCCCGGGGGUCCGCCAGCGGCCCCGCCUACCUUUCCCUCUUCAUGGCAGCUGCUCCUUGUGAUUGAUCCCGCCAGGAGGACCCACCCCGCCACGGGCGCCGCCCCCGUGGAGCCAGGGUCAGGUGCUCUCCGCCCAGUGCCCCUUCUGCAGAAGGAAGAAAGUCUCCCUGUGCUCUAUUCUGAAGAAAAGGAGAUGCGGAGAGAAACUGACUUGUCUGAUGCUUAAAUCGCCAGCCUCAGCCUCCCGACCCAACCUACUAGGUGGGAGUGGCUGGGUCCACCUCACUUGCUCACUGCUCUGGGAGGGACUGAUUGUCACAGAGGUCACAUAAGGGCACACACCCGCUCUGCGUACUCGCUCAGUCACUUGACCAUGGCAGUGCCCGUUGGCUUUGGGGCUGACUGAGGUCUUGUUUUUAUUAUGCCAUAUAUAAGAUAAAGUGAACUUAACAUCACGGGCAUCUUCGUGGUUCAUUCGGUUGAGCGUCCGACUUCGGCUCAGUCAUGAUCUCACCGUUCACGGGUUUGAGCCCCGCGUCGGGCUCUGUGCUGACAGCUCGGAGCCUGGAGCCUGCUUCAGAUUCUGUGUCUUCCCCGUCUCUGCCCCUCCCCUGCUCACACUCUGUCUCUCUCUCUCUCUCUCUCUCUCAAAAAUAAACAUUUGAAAAAAAUAAAGUGAACUCAUUUCAGACUUGUCCACUGAUGUGGAGGAUCUCAGGAGAGCCCCCUCUGGGGAGACUUCCACUGGUGCCUGCCUGGGUUUUAGCCAUCUUUCUGGAAUCCUUGUUGAUGGUUUCUGGUUUGAGUAGAUUUUAUGUCUGGGUAAGUUCUCAGGUUUGGGGACCUCAAGACUACAUGUUGUUGUUGUUGUUGUUUUUCUUGUUUUAAUUUUUUGGUUGUUUGUUUUAGUGGGGGGAGGAGAGAAGUGUGCCUGGAAAUGUUUAUGCCUAAACUUCAGCACUCUUUAAACCUUCCUCAUCCAACUCCUCUCUUUUGCAUAUGACCACACCAGAAAUUGUGCCCGGUCACUUCCUUGUGCCUAGAGCUGGAACAAUUAGUUAAAAUUACAGAAGGCCCUGGAUCAAGUAUAAACUCACUAAAAUGCUUUUUUAAAGUAGCUAGAAGUAAGAAUAAAAAUAAAA